ACUUGAAAUACUGUCUCUGCCUCAUUUACUUUUCUUCCCCACUUGUAGCUUCUGUGAGAAAGGGGAUAGGAUAAAGAAUCCGAGAAGCUGGUUUGUGUUUUUCUGUGUUGCUCCCUAUUAGUCCUGCAUCAAGAGAUAGAAUUGAAAGGUGAGUGAGAGGAAGCUCCCUAAUUCCAGAAACGUCAUUCCAGCAACUUCUCAUUCAUUGUAACAUGAAUAGUUCAUAGAUGAGCUGAGUAGGCUCGGGUAGGCUGGCUGCUUGUCACUCCAGGCCCACCUCAGACCGAGAGGGGAGAAAGGCAAACCUGUGGAGAAGUGGGUUCCUGAGACGUAUUGGCACCGUGAGAAAUGCCGACAAUUGUGGGGCCGAGGGCUUGAGGAAAAUUAGAUUCCCCAGUAGCUGAAAUUGUUUUGACAGGUCUUUAUAUAAACAUUUCACAUUUUCAUCUACAGCGUGAUGGAGAAAAGUAAUUAGGAACACGAGGCAGGGAGGGAAUAAAGCUGUAUGUCGAGGUGUCCCUGGCACCCCUUCCCUGAUUCCCUCAUCAUGUUUCCAGAGCACUUUCCCCCUCUGCUGAACUCGGACCACUCCGCUCCCAAUGGGAAAAGUCAUUUUAAAUAUACAUGUGAGAUGUUUUUCUCUUUUUCUUUUCCUUUUCCUUUUCCUUUUCCUUUUCCUUUUUUUUUCUUUUUCUUCUUUUUUUUCCUUCUUUUUCCUUUUCUUUUUUUUCUUUCCUCUCUUUCUUUCUCUUUUUCUCUUUUCUUUCCUUUUUUCUUUUCCUUCCUUUUUUUUUUUUUUUUAAGGAUUUUAUUUGCUGCGGAGAGAGGGGGGAGAGAAAGUGGGAGGUGGAGCACAAGGGAAGAGAGACCCGGGGUCUUCAGCAGACUUCGCACUGAGCAUGGAGCCUGACGUGGGGCUCGAUUCCAGGACCCUGAGGUCACGACCUGAGCCCAGACCAAGAGUCAGAUGCUCGACCGACCGACUGAGCCACCCAGAUGCCCUAAGAUGAUGUUCUUUUUAAUGACACACUUUAUUCGUGUUUGUGUGUCAUCCUUCUUGAUCCUGAGCCCCUAGAAAUCAAGGAUCCAGUUCACUUAGUAGGUUACUAGUUAUGUACUCUCCUCAAUGUUUUUGAGGGUGUUUAGGGUUAGCAGCGAACAAAGCGUGUGAAAGCCCCUGUCCUUAUGGUGUUACUUGCCAGUGUCGACCCUGCCGUGAGAGCCUGGCCACGACACGCAAAAUGCCAGCGAGGGCCAGGGGAGGUGGAGAAGGGUGGGCGACUAGGAAGGGGGCGGCAGAUGAGGUCAGGACUGUGACAGCGGGCCCGACCACAUAGGGUCCUGCAGACCCCUGAAGGGGAGGAGUAGGACUACUGUGAGGAGUAGUCUAGGACACGAAGCCUUUGGAAGGUGUUCUGUUGGGAUCCCUGAGUACUGGGACGGUGGAGAAUUGGUGGUGAGGCGGGGGUCAGGGUAAAGGACAGCGAUGGCUUCUCGCUGGGUGGCGUCGGGGCGCCAGUGAUAGCAGGUGGUGACGUGAUCCGAGGCUGGCUGACGGCAGGGCUAACGAGACUGAUGAUGCCUUUAACCCCAUGGUGUGCAAAAGGAAUCUGCGUUGGCACCGAUGCAGAUUGGGAGGCUGGAGUCGCUGGAGUCGCCUAGGAUGAGGGACCCGAGGUGGAGCAGCCUGGGGAGAGUCGUGAGCUCAGUUUUGACCGGUGACGUUUGCAGUGCCUGUGCAGUGGGCCAAUGGGGGUGUCAGCAUUCAGGACUGGUCAUGGGCCUGACGUGGGCCUUGGGGCGCUGUGAGGCCCCAGGGGACCCUCCAGGACACAUGCUAGAGGAGGAGGGGCCUGGGGCGCAGCGACGCCCCGGAGCCGAGGUGGUGAGGCAUCAGCGGGGCGCCCAGGAAGGAGCCAUCCGGGAAAGGAAAACCCCCCAGCGCGUGGAUGUCUGGAAAGGAAGUGAGUCCCUCGGAGGGGCGGGGGUGACCGGGGUCCGCCACGGUCGGGAGGUCGGAUGAGCACCGAAGGGUCCACCUCCCUCAGUGGCUGCUGCGGCGCUGGAGUGGGGAGGACAGAAGCUGGACAGGGGAGCGGGGCCUCUGGGGACACCCGACGGUUCUGCAGCCCCGGGUAGGGCCACACCCGCAGGUGGCACGGUUGUCCUUUGCGGGGGACUCCGGCGUCGCCAGCCUCGGUCCCAGGAGGGCGCAGGAGAGGCGGCCGAGCCG
rnacentral:lncRNA from 1 species